ACUAUGGGCCAGCAAAGGUGUGUCUUAUAUUAUGGAUCUCCAGAACCUGGGGCGUUCAGCUAAGAAAAUUCUAGAGGUUAAUGGUGAUAAGUUCAAUGUUUUGGCAUCUAAGUUUUUGUCAACUUGGGUUGGUCCUGGAGCUAGAAGGAGGGUACCGGAAUUGAAGACAACCGGAGAGGGUUAUGUGCAUCAUCCUUUAUCUGCUAAAGAAUCAAUUAAAGCAGCGGUUCCAUACUUAUCCAGAAAGUGGUACUCUCGUGCUGCCUUAUUUUGGAGGAACAUAAAGCAGGUUUCAGAUAAUGCCCUCCAACUAAUGGUCAGAUCGAACUGGGAUGACUUUCUCCACCUCAUUAAGGAUCUUCAAUUACCAAGCAUGGAUCAUCUUCUUUCGAACAUUGGUAAUGUUUUCACUUUGCUG